UCCAGACUCCUACGGGAGGCAGCAGUGGGGGAUAUUGCACAAUGGGGGGAACCCUGAUGCAGCGACGCCGCGUGGGUGAAGAAGCGCCUCGGCGCGUAAAGCCCUGUCAGCAGGGAAGAAAAUGACGGUACCUGAAGAAGAAGCCCCGGCUAACUACGUGCCAGCAGCCGCGGUAAUACGUAGGGGGCAAGCGUUAUCCGGAUUUACUGGGUGUAAAGGGGGCGCAGACGGCAGCGCAAGCCAGGAGUGAAAGCCCGGGGCCCAACCCCGGGACUGCUCUUGGAACUGCGCGGCUGGAGUGCAGGAGGGGCAGGCGGAAUUCCUGGUGUAGCGGUGAAAUGCGUAGAUAUCAGGAGGAACACCGGCGGCGAAGGCGGCCUGCUGGACCGUGACUGACGUUGAGGCUCGAGAGCGUGGGGAGCAAACAGGAUUAGAUACCCGCGUAA
rnacentral:rRNA from 1 species